ensembl:snRNA U4 U4 spliceosomal RNA
AGCUUUGUACAGUGGAAAUACGGUAGCCAAUGAGGUUUAUCCUAGGUUAUUGCUAAUUGAAAACUUUCUCCAAUAUCCUGCCAUGACAACUUGCAAGAUAGUCAGCAUUGCCAAUUUUUGACAGUCACUAUGGAGA